UCGGAUGUGCCCAGAUGGGAUUAGCUAGUAGGUGGGGUAACGGCUCACCUAGGCGACGAUCCCUAGCUGGUCUGAGAGGAUGACCAGCCACACUGGAACUGAGACACGGUCCAGACUCNUACGGGAGGCAGCAGUGGGGAAUAUUGCACAAUGGGCGCAAGCCUGAUGCAGCCAUGCCGCGUGUAUGAAGAAGGCCUUCGGGUUGUAAAGUACUUUCAGCGGGGAGGAAGGGAGUAAAGUUAAUACCUUUGCUCAUUGACGUUACCCGCAGAAGAAGCACCGGCUAACUCCGUGCCAGCAGCCGCGGUAAUACGGAGGGUGCAAGCGUUAAUCGGAAUUACUGGGCGUAAAGCGCACGCAGGCGGUUUGUUAAGUCAGAUGUGAAAUCCCCGGGCUCAACCUGGGAACUGCAUCUGAUACUGGCAAGCUUGAGUCUCGUAGAGGGGGGUAGAAUUCCAGGUGUAGCGGUGAAAUGCGUAGAGAUCUGGAGGAAUACCGGUGGCGAAGGCGGCCCCCUGGACGAAGACUG
rnacentral:rRNA from 1 species